GACGCAGUUACUAAUUUGCAUUUUGACGGUUUCGUAAACCGUAGGUCACGAGUUCGAAUCUCGUCAUUGGCUCCA
rnacentral:tRNA from 1 species